CUUGCCAUUAUUUUGACUUGCACAGCAAUUUAUAUUUUUAGCCUAAAUUUCAAAUCAUAAUACAUAUUUGUGCAUGUGUCUGCUUUCAGUGUACUUUUUGGGGACUUUGAGUGAUUCACCACCCUCUGAACAAAUGUAUUUUGAGAUCCUCAAAGGAAUCCUAGAUUUGUCAUGAAGCCAUAUGUUUUAAUUGCUGCCCAUCAAAUAGUACAGUGUCUUUGUGUAAAUUAGAUUCAUUUUGAGGAAAUAGCUGGUGUGCAGUGCACAUUCCUAAAUGAAUCCAUCAGUUUACAUUAAGGAUCUACCUUCAAAUCCUGUAAUCUGGGAUGCUCUAAAGUGCAUGUCACAGACUAAAGUUAUAAAAAUAACUUCCAAGAAUUUUUAAAAAAUUGUUAUGACUUUAAAAUGUAUGUAUAUAUACUGAUAUUGAAUUAAAUUUUAUAAAAUUUUAACAUCUGAUUUUAUGUAUAUAUAGACAUAUUGUAAAGAUUUUCCACUCUAAAGGUUUAAUUUCUUUAAUAUUUAAGACCCAAAAAAA